rnacentral:rRNA from 1 species
AGUGAACGCUGGCGGUAGGCCUAACACAUGCAAGUCGAACGGCAGCACAGUAAGAGCUUGCUCUUACGGGUGGCGAGUGGCGGACGGGUGAGGAGUACAUCGGAAUCUACUUUUUCGUGGGGGAUAACGUAGGGAAACUUACGCUAAUACCGCAUACGACCUACGGGUGAAAGCAGGGGAUCUUCGGACCUUGCGCGAUUGAAUGAGGCGAUGUCGGAUUAGCUAGUUGGCGGGGUAAAGGCCCACCAAGGCGACGAUCCGUAGCUGGUCUGAGAGGAUGAUCAGCCACACUGGAACUGAGACACGGUCCAGACUCCUACGGGAGGCAGCAGUGGGGAAUAUUGGACAAUGGGCGCAAGCCUGAUCCAGCCAUACCGCGUGGGUGAAGAAGGCCUUCGGGUUGUAAAGCCCUUUUGUUGGGAAAGAAAAGCAGCAGGUUAAUACCCCGCUGUUCUGACGGUACCCAAAGAAUAAGCACCGGCUAACUUCGUG